rnacentral:rRNA from 1 species
AGCGAACGCUGGCGGCAUGCUUAACACAUGCAAGUCGCACGGGCGGUAGCAAUACCGUCAGUGGCGGACGGGUGAGUAACGCGUAGGAAUCUAUCCUUGGAUGGGGGACAACCGUGGGAAACUACGGCUAAUACCGCAUGAUGCCUGAGGGCCAAAGCUCGCGAGAGCGUCUGGGGAGGAGCCUGCGUCUGAUUAGGUAGUUGGUGGGGUAAAGGCCUACCAAGCCUACGAUCAGUAGCUGGUCUGAGAGGAUGAUCAGCCACAUUGGGACUGAGAC